UAAGCAUAUCAAUAAGCGGAGGAAAAGAAACCAACAGGGAUUGCCCCAGUAACGGCGAGUGAAGCGGCAAGAGCUCAAAUUUUAAAUCUGGGGUCCACGGCCCCCGAGUUGUAAUUUGGAGAGGCAUCUUCGGGGGGGAGCGCCGGCCAAUGUUCCUUGGAACAGGACGUCGCAGAGGGUGAGAAUCCCGUGCCGGGCCGGCUGCCUCCUCCCGGGUGAAGGGCCUUCGACGAGUCGAGUUGUUUGGGAAUGCAGCUCCAAGUGGGUGGUAAAUUUCAUCUAAAGCUAAAUACCGGCGGGAGACCGAUAGCGCACAAGUAGAGUGAUCGAAAGAUGAAAAGCACUUUGAAAAUAGAGUCAAAAAGUACGUGAAAUUGUUGAAAGGGAAGCGCUUGAGACCAGACUCGGGCCCGGGCAAACAUCGCGUCCCUCGGGGCCGUGCAAUUGCCCGGGGCCGGGCCAGCAUCAGUUGGCGUGGCGGGWCAAAGGCGCGGGGAAUGUGGCUCCCCUCGGGGAGUGUUAUCAGGCCCGCGCUCAAUGCCGCCGACGCCGACUGAGGACCGCGCCUAGGCUUGGAUGCUGGCUUAAUGGCCUUCAGCRACCCGU
rnacentral:rRNA from 1 species